rnacentral:rRNA from 1 species
GAUGAACGCUAGCGGCAGGCCUAAUACAUGCAAGUCGAACGGUAACAGGAGAGCUUGCUCUCGCUGACGAGUGGCGCACGGGUGCGUAACGCGUACACAACUUGCCCUUUGGAGGAGGAUAGCCCCGGGAAACUGGGAGUAAUACUCCAUGGUAAUACUAAAAUGCCUAUUUAAGUAUUUAAAGCUCCGGCGCCAAAGGAUAGGUGUGCGUCCGAUUAGUUAGUUGGUAGGGUAACGGCCUACCAAGACCACGAUCGGUAGGGGCGUGAGAGCGCGAUCCCCCACACGGGCACUGAGACACGGGCCCGACUCCUACGGGAGGCAGCAGUAAGGAAUAUUGGUCAAUGGGGGCAACCCUGAACCAGCCAUGCCGCGUGCAGGACGACUGCCCUAUGGGUUGUAAACUGCUUUUAUAAAGGAAGAAUCGCAUGGAUUUUAUCCGUGUUUGACGGUACUUUAUGAAUAAGCACCGGCUAACUCCGUGCCAGCGCCGCGGUAA